CUGCCUUCCUCCCCUGUGAUUUAGGGCUUCAUUCCACAGGCAUGUGCUGGCGUUUGUUUCGUGCCAGGGCAUGGUCACAGACAACAGGCCUUAAAUUCUCAGGAGUUAGCACAGCCGUGACACAAGACAGGUUGAUUGCCUCAAAUGCUCUCUUAAUCAGCACUCUCAAACUGCUUCCUUCUUCCUGGGGGGUCAGGUCUCGGGUCAAAGUGUUGACUUGUUGUGUUUCCAACCAUUCCCAUCGUGGCAUGUUGACGACGCCACCCAGAAGAGGGUGCUUUUUGGCUUACGCUGGGGAUCUCCCUUAAUCGCGUAGCAGACCUGCGGCUACCUGAAGCCUCUCUCCCUUAGGCUUCCCGCUCCAAUGCGGUGUCGGCCAAAGGGCUCAGAUCUUACUUCCAGGUUCCCACACCACCUACAAUGCCAACCCUUCUGGUGCUCACCAUAGAGAAAAUCAGACCAAAGAGAAAUAACGUGUUAACGACAGUUGAGAUCUUUCUGAUGGGCUCUAUUUUAUUGGAAAGAAUGGCGUUCCACCAAGAGCAGCUAGGGUCCCAUGCUUCUAAGACAAGUGGGGCCGUCUAAUUCUUCCCCUUCCCCAUCAGGAAGGAGAAAACUCAGGAGCUGGUUGUCAACAAGGAAGUGAAGUCAUGGUCCAAGGUGCACAGGGUCCCGCAACUUAUCCAUAGAAGCCACAGAAGAUGAGCUCGCUCCAGUUUUAUUCAACUCCAAGGAGUCUUGGAUUCAUCAUCACUCCACCUUGUGUGGCUCAAGAGAUCAUUGUCUCCUGUUCCCAUGUGGUUUUGCCUUGGACAAAGAGAACAAAAGUUGAUCCUGGAACAGCCUUAUCUUCAGCCACUCUCUGGGGGAGUUUCCUUAUUUACAUGCAAGCCAUGAUCUUUCCAAUGAUGUUUCACAUGGGACCCCGAAACAGAUGAGAUAAUUGGAGAAGCAGUGGGACUUUCUGAGGACAUGUAGGCCAAUCACUGAGUUCACUUCUUGAAAAUUAGUCACCUUGUAAAAUUUAAAAAAUAUGUGUAUGUGUAUAUAUAUGUGUAUACACACACACACACAUAUAUAAACAAAUAGAAAUGAAUAAAAAUCAUUGGCUUUGACAAAUAUGUUCAACUAUCUGUUAAAAUAGCUCUUGAUUCUUAGUCCUUUCCACCAUUUAUGUCCAUAUAAUGAUGUGAG